rnacentral:rRNA from 1 species
GAUGAACGCUAGCGGGAGGCCUAACACAUGCAAGCCGAGCGGUAUUGUUUCUUCGGAAAUGAGAGAGCGGCGUACGGGUGCGUAACACGUGUGCAACCUGCCUUUAUCUGGGGGAUAGCCUUUCGAAAGGAAGAUUAAUACUCCAUAAUAUAUUGAACGGCAUCGUUUAAUAUUGAAAGCUCCUGCGGAUAGAGAUGGGCACGCGCAAGAUUAGCUAGUUGGUGAGGUAACGGCUCACCAAGGCGAUGAUCUUUAGGGGGCCUGAGAGGGUGAUCCCCCACACUGGUACUGAGACACGGACCAGACUCCUACGGGAGGCAGCAGUGAGGAAUAUUGGUCAAUGGGUGCAAGCCUGAACCAGCCAUCCCGCGUGAAGGACGACUGCCCUAUGGGUUGUAAACUUCUUUUGUAUAGGGAUAAACCUACCCUCGAGAGGGUAGCUGAAGGUACUAUACGAAUAAGCACCGGCUAACUCCGUG